ACUUAAGUAUCUUAAAAUUAAAGUAUAAUAUUGAAGUUAUUAUUAUAAGCUCAGCUUCUUAAGUG
rnacentral:tRNA from 1 species